UACGUAGGGUGCGAGCGUUAAUCGGAAUUACUGGGCGUAAAGCGUGCGCAGGCGGUUAUGCAAGACAGAUGUGAAAUCCCCGGGCUCAACCUGGGAACUGCAUUUGUGACUGCAUGGCUAGAGUUUGUCAGAGGGGGGUGGAAUUCCACGUGUAGCAGUGAAAUGCGUAGAUAUGUGGAGGAACACCGAUGGCGAAGGCAGCCCCCUGGGAUGUGACUGACGCUCAUGUACGAAAGCGUGGGGAGCAAACAGG
rnacentral:rRNA from 1 species